AUGAGGCGAGACAAAAGUGGCGGCGGCGGCGUUGAGGGGAACGCGGGCGGGGGGAGCCCCGCCGCCCCGGCCCGCACAGGCGCCCCUUCGCGCCCCGCCCGCCCCAGAGCCGCCGCUAAGUGCGUCACCCCGAGCACCAUCGGGCCCCCGCCGCCCGUCCCCGGCGAGGCCCUGCUCCCUCACAGCACUGCGCUGGGAGGUGGGCCCAGCCCGCGCCCGCCUUGAAGUUACCUCAGAGUGUGUCAUGGCGCGACUCCAAAAGACGCAUGGGGGUUGCUGCAGCAGGGACAGCAUGAAACAGUCACAUCAUCACAGAACACGCGGUGCAAUAACAAUUUGCUACAUCAGGUGAUUUUGGAGCACUGGAUUAUUCCAUUAACCCUAGCACCCCACGGAUCCUCACCACUUCUGGUACCUCUGCUGACAGCGAGCCGCUUCGUCCAUAGCACCACCAGCCCUACUUGAUCCCUCCCGCGCACACGAUGGAGUUCUUCAAGAGGAGAGGAAAACUCUUCCUCUCAAAGGGACUCCAACCACUUCAGAAACACCAGCAGGGCCCCCCAGCAUCUCCAUCUUAGAGUAAGACCAUCAGUCCCACGCUACUAGUGAAGAAACCAGAAAACCCCUGUAAUGAAGCAUCUUGAAGGCCAACCAAAAACUGCCAACAGGAAUCAAAACCCAGCCUUCCAUCUCCUAUUUAUCCUCACACACCUACACCCCAACCACCAGGGAGAAGCGCUGUACUACCAAUUCAUUCUGACGCUAAGUACAAAAAAGCAAGAUAAAUUAAAUUAUUCACUAUCAGAACACAUUCAGUUUGGCAACUGGUUUACAGCCAGAACAAGCAAACCUCAAUAAUCCAGAGAAUGAAACGUAUUAGAUUACAGUGGUAACAUAAUUAAUAAUUCAAGUUACUGAAGUGCCUUUAGAUUGUCUUUUAUAACUCCACAACAGUCCAUCACACCAGCUGAUACAAGCAUACUGAGAAGCGGCCACCAUCUAAAAUUCUAAUAAAAAUCCUUCCAUUUUGUUGUUCACUUUCCAUUUAAUAGGUGAUGAUCAUGGAAGCAUCUCGUUUUUCACUUUUAGCUUUGAAAGCAAACUGCUAUUCCUUAGAAAUUAAAUUCUUUCCAACUGGCUAAA